rnacentral:rRNA from 1 species
GACGAACGCUGGCGGCGUGCUUAACACAUGCAAGUCGAACGGAAAGGCCCUGCUUUUGUGGGGUGCUCGAGUGGCGAACGGGUGAGUAACACGUGAGUAACCUGCCCUUGACUUUGGGAUAACUUCAGGAAACUGGGGCUAAUCCCGGAUAGGAGCUCCUGCCGCAUGGUGGGGGUGGGAUAGUUUCGGCGGUUGGGGAUGGACUCGCCGCUUAUCAGCUUGUUGGUGGGGUAGUGGCUUACCAAGGCUUUGACGGGUAGCCGGCCUGAGAGGGGGACCGGCCACAUUGGGACUGAGAUACGGCCCAGACUACAACGGGAGGCAGCAGUGGGGAAUAGUACACAAUGGGCGGAAGCCUGAUGCAGCACCGCCGCGUGCGGGAUGACGGCCUUCGGGUUGUAAACCGCUUCCGCCUGUGACGAAGCGUGAGUGACGGUAAUGGGUAAAGAAGCACCGGCUAACUACGUG